GAACGAGAAAGUGGAGCAAUCCAUGAGUACAGUGGCGUACGGGUGAGUAACACGUGACUAACCUACCCUCGAGUGGGGAAUAACUUCGGGAAACCGAGGCUAAUACCGCAUAAUGUCUACGGACCAAAUGCGCAAGCAGCUUGAGGAGGGGGUCGCGGCUGAUUAGCUUGUUGGCGGGGUAACGGCCCACCAAGGCAAUGAUCAGUAGCCGGCCUGAGAGGGCGCACGGCCACACUGGAACUGAAACACGGUCCAGACUCCUACGGGAGGCAGCAGUGGGGAAUUUUGCGCAAUGGGGGAAACCCUGACGCAGCAACGCCGCGUGGAGGAUGAAGCCCCUUGGGGUGUAAACUCCUUUCGAUCGGGACGAUUAUGACGGUACCGGAUGAAGAAGCACCGGCUAACUCUGUG
rnacentral:rRNA from 1 species